rnacentral:snRNA from 1 species
GUGCUCACUUUGGCAGCACAUAUACUAAAAAUUGGAGCGAAACAGAGAAGAUUAGCCUGGCCCUUGUGCAAGGAUGACACACAACUUGGUGAGGUGUUCCGUAUUUUU